rnacentral:rRNA from 1 species
UUUAUUGGAGAGUUUGAUCCUGGCUCAGGAUGAACGCUGGCGGCGUGCCUAAUACAUGCAAGUCGAGCGAAUGGAUUAAGAGCUUGCUCUUAUGAAGUUAGCGGCGGACGGGUGAGUAACACGUGGGUAACCUGCCCAUAAGACUGGGAUAACUCCGGGAAACCGGGGCUAAUACCGGGUAACAUUUUGAACCGCAUGG